UUUUCUAUCUUUUUCCACCCAAGCCCCUGGCAGGGUCUUUGCCUGAGGCAGGAUGAGUUGAUGUAGAUGCGCAAGUCCUGGCAGAACAAGGGAAGAGGAGGAUACCACCCAUGAGAGGCUAUCCGUCUCCACCAAGGCCUCCAAUCCUAGGCAAACCAGAGCACAGAGGAAGUAAUGAUGACUUCUACCUGCAGGAGUUGGAAAAGUUUCCCAGAAGAGGUCACGUUUAGGCUGGGACUAGAAGGAUAGCAAAGAGAUUUUUCAAAGGGAUCAUCAAAGUGAUGAAGGAAGCACAUUCCAGCCUUUGGGGAACACGUAAGCAAAGGAAGUGCUACGUGCAAAUACAGGACCCAUUCAGGCCAGGCCCAGCCAUUAGCUGUGGCCAUAGGGUAUUGGGGCUGACGAUCAGAGCCGAAGAGUUUGAGCAUGGCUUAUGAAGAAGGCAGGAUAACGGAGUGUCAGCCCUUACUGGUAAUAGUUCCACCCCUCUGCCCACUCACCAGUGGUUGAGCAGUGAACCUCCUUCCAUGAGCCUUGUUUGCA